rnacentral:rRNA from 1 species
AAAGGGUGCGUAGGCGGCUUGUUAAGUCAGAGGUGAAAGGCGGUAGCUUAACUAUCGGAGUGCCUUUGAUACUGAUGAGCUUGAAUGCAGCUGAGGUAGGCGGAAUGUGACAAGUAGCGGUGAAAUGCAUAGAUAUGUCACAGAACACCGAUUGCGAAGGCAGCUUACUAAAGUGUGAUUGACGCUGAGGCACGAAAGCGUGGGGAUCAAACAGGAUUAGAUACCCGUGU